GACGAACGCUGGCGGCGUGCCUAAUACAUGCAAGUAGAACGCAGUUGCGAACGGGUGAGUAACGCGUAGGUAACUACCUCAUAGCGGGGGAUAACUAUUGGAAACGAUAGCUAAUACCGCAUACUAUGAGCUGGACCUGCGUUGUAUUAGCUAGUUGGUGAGGUAACGGCUCACCAAGGCGACGAUACAUAGCCGACCGGAGAGGGUGAUCGGCCACACUGGGACUGAGACACGGCCCAGACUCCUACGGGAGGCAGCAGUGGGGAAUAUUGGACAAUGGGCGAAAGCCUGAUCCAGCCAUGCCGCGUGUGUGAAGAAGGUCUUCGGAUUGUAAAGCACUUUAAGUUGGGAGGCGUUACCAACAGAAUAAGCACCGGCUAACUUCGUGCCAGCCGCCGCGGUAAUAC
rnacentral:rRNA from 1 species